UUUUCUACUCCAGAACGCAAACUAACGGCGUUUGUGUCACCGUUUGUUUUUUCAGCUCCGGGACCAGAUCAAUUCUGAUCACCGCACUCGGGCCAUGCAAGAUAGGUAUAUGGAGGUCAGUGGGAACCUGAGGGAUUUGUAUGAUGAUAAGGAUGGAUUACGAAAGGAGGAGCUCAAUGCCAUUUCAGGACCCAAUGAGUUUGCUGAAUUCUAUAAUAGACUCAAGCAAAUAAAGGAAUUCCACCGGAAGCACCCAAAUGAGAUCUGUGUGCCAAUGUCAGUGGAAUUUGAGGAACUCCUGAAGGCUCGAGAGAAUCCAAGUGAAGAGGCACAAAACUUGGUGGAGUUCACAGAUGAAGAGGGAUAUGGUCGUUAUCUCGAUCUCCAUGACUGUUACCUCAAGUACAUUAACCUGAAGGCAUCUGAGAAGCUGGAUUAUAUCACAUACCUGUCCAUCUUUGACCAAUUAUUUGACAUUCCUAAAGAAAGGAAGAAUGCAGAGUAUAAGAGAUACCUAGAGAUGCUGCUUGAGUACCUUCAGGAUUACACAGAUAGAGUGAAGCCUCUCCAAGAUCAGAAUGAACUUUUUGGGAAGAUUCAGGCUGAGUUUGAGAAGAAAUGGGAGAAUGGGACCUUUCCUGGAUGGCCGAAAGAGACAAGCAGUGCCCUGACCCAUGCUGGAGCCCAUCUUGACCUCUCUGCAUUCUCCUCCUGGGAGGAGUUGGCCUCUCUGGGUUUGGACAGAUUGAAAUCUGCUCUCUUAGCUUUAGGCUUGAAAUGUGGCGGGACCCUAGAAGAGCGAGCCCAGAGACUAUUCAGUACCAAAGGAAAGUCCCUGGAGUCACUUGAUACCUCUUUGUUUGCCAAAAAUCCCAAGUCAAAGGGCACCAA
rnacentral:sRNA from 1 species